UAAAUUUCAAAGUCCAAACUCACGCCCCCUCCAUUCCAACAAUGAUAAUACUAGUUUAUGUCAUUAUGCACACAGUCAUGUCCAAUAGUACAGUGCAAACAUCCGUAUAAUCCAACGGUUUUUUUUCUUCUCCGUUGAACUGGUGGACCUCCGUUACCUGGCCACCGCCAAUCACGUAAACAAACAUCUUUCUGUCCCAUCCAUCCAUCACUUAGCCCCCUUCAAAUUAUUCCCUUCUUGCUACAUUACCCAACGCCAACUAAUCUUUUACUCUACUACCCCCUGGGUAAAAGCCUAACAUGCAGCACCAAGUACUCUCUCCCCCUCUCUCUCCCUCUCUCUCUUCCAAUCUCUCCCUCUCUCAGUCCCUCUCUCUCUUUCAAUCUCUCUCUCUCCCUCUCUGUCUUAAUCUCUCUCGAUCUCUCUCAAUCUCUCUCACAGUCUCUCUCCAUGUAGGCGUUGGUGAUACAUUAGAAGUUGAAGGGGGGUAGCUAGUAGUUAAUAGUACAACGUAGGUUGUGGUAUUUGUCAGAUAGAGUCAAAUUUGGUCGGAGAUUUCCCGGGAUCCUGACUGCCACGCGCGUCCUUUCCUCUGUACCCCCUGCCUCCCUCUCCACACAAUACACACUCAUAAACAAAAAUUCUGAUGGGUCGUUCUCAAUUGGAUCGCUUUGGGCGCUGCACCCCUGCUCCCACACAAAUAUUAUGUUUGUACUUGCUUGCUACACACAUAACCCUCCAUUUCUCCUUCUUUUAAUCUCUCUGCGCUUCUUCUUUUCACUCAUGUUCAGUAAUUUGCCUAAUACAACCAGACAUGUAUUAACAUGCGCCUUCUCUUUUGUUUCUUCCCCUUGUUUCUCUUUCCUCAUCUUCAACAUUUUUUGUCAUUAUGUAACGUGGUGGUCAUACUAGCUUAGCUUCUUUACAACGAUUCUUGCGCAUCCUGCUAGCUAAUAGCAGUUGGUACCUGCCUGCUCUCAUUCUGCAUCUCAGACAUCUAUUUUCCAUGCAACUAUAUUUUCUAGAAGUUGAUAACAAAACAAACCAAGAGAAGAACCACACUCUCUCAGUCUCUUUGCAUUAAACAAACAAGUCUUGCAUUUUAUUUAACUAUAUAACUUCUGAAUAGAUGUCCCGAUCCACCUACAGAAAACUUUGAAAAUUACAAGUAUGACUUGACCGAUCAUCUAUAACUCUUUUGCAAGUUUGUAAAUUUAAGUUGGUUAAGGGAUGCACUGUACUUCUAUGAGCGUAUUUUGUAAAUUAUUCUUUUUUUUUAAAAUUUAAAUGCUUAUUUAAUUUAAGAUGUAUAUAUAUUUAUAAUUUUUAAAUAUAAAUACUAAACAGCUGUUUAUAGCGUUAUUUAGUAACAAAAUAAGGAUUAUUUGGGGAAAAGUCGAAUUAAUGUACUUUUCUCAAAAAUAAGUACUAAUUAUCAAAAAUAAAGCUAGCCGAAUGAUCACAACAUUUGAGUUUGAAAGAAUCUCCCAUAAUCCUAAUUAUUCUAAAAAAUAACAAUAAAAUACGUGAUUUUUAAUAUAUAAAUACAUCAAAUAACGUGAUAGCUAUUAAUACUGCUCUUUGUACUUGUUCAUAUUAUAUUCUUAUUUUCGCGAAAAGCAAGAGCUAGAAUUGAAGUUAAGUUGAUAAAUUUGGGGGGAAUGAAUGUUUUAUAAUAUUUAUAAAUAAAAAAUUUAAAUGUACCUACAUUUUUUUUAAUAAAUACGAGAUAUAAGCCUGUCUAAAUUUAUAAGAACAACUUCAAUAGACUUUGAAGUUGUUAUAUUUAAAAAAUAAUAAUAUAUAUUUCUUAUAGUAAGUUAAUAUUAUAAAUGAUGUGUUAUAAUUGCUCUCUAUUUAUAUUUUAUUACUGCUAGUUUAUAACUGGUGCAAAGCAUAAGUUUGAAUUUUUUUUUUAAUUUUAUUACCUAUUAUAAUUAUAAUAAUAUUUUUUUUAUUUCAUUGCAUUAUCAUCUUCUUAAUAAACUUAUACACAUAAUUUUUGUAUAUAUAAAACUUUUUAUAUACUUACAUUUGAACUUAUUUUAGAUUUUGAAAUUUUCUUGGCAUCAAAGUAAAAGGGGUCUCUUUUUAUAUCAACGCAAUUGUAGGGUCCAAAAUGAGUAGGAGAACCCGCCCCCAAUAGGCAAACCCGUCCUCUCAAUACAGAAAAUGGGAUAAAGAUGGGAAAUAAUUUUCCGCCCCACCAAAAUAUGGAGUAAGUAUGGUAUACGUUUAAUCUUCGUGGGGAUUCCCCGCGUGUAUACAUAUAUAUAUAAUAUUUAUUAUUUUUAAUAUUAGAAUUAUUAUGUAUUGUUAUAUUGUUAUCUUAAUU
rnacentral:lncRNA from 1 species